UACGUAGGGGGCAAGCGUUGUCCGGAUUUAUUGGGCGUAAAGCGCUCGCAGGUGGUUCGUUGCGUCGUGCGUGAAAGACCCCGGCUCAACUGGGGAGUGUCGUGCGAUACGGGCGGACUGGAGGCCAGUAGGGGGAUGCGGAAUUCCUGGUGUAGCGGUGGAAUGCGCAGAUAUCAGGAGGAACACCGGUGGCGAAGGCGGGUCUCUGGGCAGUAACUGACGCUGAGGAGCGAAAGCGUGGGGAGCGAACAGG
rnacentral:rRNA from 1 species